CAGAUAAUCGAAUGUCGAACGCCAAAGACUUUAAGGCAAUCUUAUUGCUAGGGUAUAGAGGAUUAAGUGACUCAGUAGAAGCGUUUAUGAUAGUUAGGAUAACGGAAAGGGCAAAAGAUAACUUUUAUCACCUAUACGAUAAAAGGGAAAUGAGAUAAAGAGAAAGUUUGUGGGCAGAAGAGACAUAUCUCUUCCAAUUGUCCCAAUUCAAGAAUGUAUAGCGAAUGUUUUAUUUNNN
rnacentral:lncRNA from 1 species